rnacentral:tRNA from 1 species
GCCUGGGUGGCUCAGUCGGUUGGGCGGUUGACUUCAGCUCAGGUCAUGAUCUCGCGGUCCGUGGGUUCGAGCCCCACGUCGGGCU